GGUGACAGAAGCAAAGAAAAGAUAGAAGGGGAGGUUUGUGACAGCCAACCAUCCUGAGGAAGAUGGCACAUGAUGAUGAUGACGGGGAUAAAAAAAGAAGUGUUGUUGACAAGCAACAAAGAUUGCAGAGUACAAAGCAAUGCAUCCAGUCACAAAAGUCUCUUUCUAAGGUCAAGGACUUACUUCAGGAGUAUACAGGUCUCUAUGGGCUCUUCACCUCAGUUAAAGCUAGUGAAGGUAUCUGAGCAGUGUGACGUCCUCAAACCUCCAAAAAUUGGCUACUGGUUUGAUUAGGGCCCCAUAAGCUGCAUACUACUAUUAUACUAGCUCUUAAUUUAUACUGGAAUUGAUGAUUCAGUUAUAAAACAAAAUUUAAUGUUCAUAUUACAGUUUGUUUAUACAGAAACUUUGAUUCAAAACUAGAGGUGACAACUGGAAAUUAAUUCGACAAAUCUCUUAUUUAUCUAGAUGUUGAAAUUUUUAUGACAGUUUUUAAAAUAAAUGGUUACAUAUUUUUAGAGGUUCAAUAAAUUUGAGUGUUGCAUCAAAGAGGAAUAAAAAUGGUGUUUUUCAGAUUAAAUAAAAUCAAUUUGUAUUACUAAAGCAAACAAAAUAGAUGGAUAUU